UACGUAGGGUGCGAGCGUUGUCCGGAAUUAUUGGGCGUAAAGAGCUCGUAGGCGGUUUGUCGCGUCGGCUGUGAAAACCCGAGGCUUAACCUCGGGCCUGCAGUCGAUACGGGCAGACUAGAGUUCGGUAGGGGAGAUCGGAAUUCCUGGUGUAGCGGUGAAAUGCGCAGAUAUCAGGAGGAACACCGGUGGCGAAGGCGGAUCUCUGGGCCUUGCCUGACGCUGAGGCGCGAAAGCGAGGGGAGCGAACAGG
rnacentral:rRNA from 1 species